ensembl:lncRNA
GGCUCAAGCCAUCAGCCCCCUCUGCCGGAUCCCUGCAGGGGGGCUUGAGCUGAUCCACUCCCAGCCUCAGUCCCAGAGCAUGUCCAGCCCCUCGUCCUGGUUUUCAAGGUCCUAGAAGCUCCAGGCCCAGCUAGCUCCACCUUAGGCAGAGAGCCCUGGCUGCCAGACUCAUGGUUCCCUCAGCGGGAUGACAGCUUCAGCGACACCACUGCAGCCUGCAAAUCACCAAACCUUUCUCCAUGCUGCCAGUUCUGCUUGGAUUGCUUCCUCC